rnacentral:piRNA from 1 species
UAACCCAAAGUAAAGACUACAGCACUCC